GACGUAGGUGGCGAACGUUAUCCGGAAUUAUUGGACGUAAAGGGUGCGUAGGUGGCCUGACAAGUUAUCAGUGGCAAAUCGAGGCUCAACCUCGUAGAAACUGGUAAUACUGUUCGGCUUGAGUACAGGAGAGGUUAACGGAACUCUAUGUGAAGCGGUAAAAUGCACAGAUAUAUGGAAGAACAUCAAUAAAGGCGAAGGCAGUUAACUAUUCUGUUACUGACGCUGAGGCACGAAAGCGUGGGGAGCAAAACGG
rnacentral:rRNA from 1 species